CGGAAUAGUCGUCGAUGCGCACGGCGGCGACGUCUUUCGCCCGUGCAUUACGGGCGAGCGACCGUCGCCGCGUCGCUUUGGGUCUUUCUCUCUUUUUUUCUUGUGUAUUGUUGCUUCUCCGCGUGCUCUGGCCUUUUGCGUGUGCCCUGGUGUUGUCGGCGGCGCCGGGGAAGGCGCGUCGGCCCCAUGCCUGCUCCGCCGGCCAUAUCUCGCACGCACAACACUCACGCCGUCGGCCAAACCACACACGCAAGACGACGAAAGAGAGAGAGAGACACAAUGGG
rnacentral:lncRNA from 1 species